rnacentral:tRNA from 1 species
GCGCGGGUGGUGAAAUGGUAGACACGUACGUUUGAGGGGCGUAUGCCGUAAGGUAUGAGGGUUCAAGUCCCUCCCCGCGCACCA